rnacentral:rRNA from 1 species
AUGAAUUAUCCUACACAUUUGAUUUCCUUAAUAAUUGCCAACAUAGUUCAGGUUUCCCUUAAAAUAUAUUUUCUAUCAGAAUUUGUGGUUUUAGUUCAUAUGUCAUCUGUUAUAGCAAAAAAGAUGAGGUUUCGUGAUGUUAUUCAGGCCGAGUCCCACUCAAGUUGCUUGAUUUUAGGUUCUAUUGUGGGACUGGAGAAGUUCAAAACAGAUAGCUUGCUUAGAGGAAUACCACAUGGACGAUCUAAUACAAGUAUGCACAUUUUACAGAGUCUGACAUGUGCAUGUGGAUAUCCCUUUUAUAGUGGAAAUUAG